AGCAGAAUUGCUGGGUCUUACCAUAACUAUGUUGCACCUUUUGAAGAACUGCCAGGCUGUUUUCCAGAGUGGCUGUACCAGUUUAUAUCCCACCAGCAAU
rnacentral:pre_miRNA from 1 species